GUUCGGCGAUGGCAGUUUUACGACCGCACGUAUUGUUGAUGGCAACAUUUGCCAUCUGGAAGCGCAUCUUCAGCGCUUGCAGGUUGCCUGUGAAAAAUUACGGAUCGCUUUUAGCCAUUGGGCGACCCUUCGGCAAGAGAUGACAAUGUUGGCCACAGGGCAUGAUUCAGGCGUGUUGAAAGUGAUCAUUAGCCGUGGCAGCGGCGGCCGGGGAUACAGCGCCAUGAAUUGUCAGGCAGCUACCCGAAUCCUCUCCGUUUCUGCUUAUCCCGCUUAUUAUUCUCAGUGGCGUAAGCAAGGCAUCACUCUUACCCUUAGUCCCAUACCGCUUGGGCGCAAUCCUUAUCUUGCCGGAUUAAAAC
rnacentral:misc_RNA from 1 species